CACACCCUGAAGUCACUAACUGGUGUUUCCCUGCUGAUCUCCACAGGGCAGAGUUGGGCCCAUGCUGAAGACUUCUGAGAAUGCUGCUCUGCAGUUGUGGAUCUGGUCCUGUCACCUCCUGUGCACUCACUGAUGUCUCACCACUGGAAGAGACAGCAAGAUCUGGCAGCUCUGCUCACCUUCAGUCCUGCAGCUCUGGAAGCUGGUUUCCACCAGGAGGGGCCACUGUGCCUUUCCCACUGCCUGAGCUCUGACUGCUACACAUAAUGCAGGAGAGAGAUGGCUAAAGAAGGACAGCCAGAGGGAAAUUUCACUCAGAGCACUUUCAUUCAGCCAUCCCCAGAUUUCCCUGGCCUAACCCGAGCGUGUUGGUGCUGAUCUGGAGCUGGAGCCAUGGCAGUGUCUCCAUCAGGACACGGAGUCACCUAACACAGCAAGGCCAGAAUGGAGCCAGUGCCACAUGGGGGAAGGUCUAUGAAGUACAAAAGGUGAGCGAUGGAUGGUUUCUGUGAGAUAAAUACAUGCAGAGUUGGCUGGAACCRUUGUGAACUAACGAGGGCAUUCCAGGGCAGGGGAGAGGUGGGAGUAGGGAAAUAAAACMUUGCCUGCUCCAAGGGCUUGGGGUGUGUGCUUCAGGAAAGGURUGCUGCUCAAGCAGAGAUUCAGGCCUGCUGAAAUGGCAUGCCAGGGAGAAAAGGAAGGGACUGUUGUCCCAGCCAGCCUCCUCCUUGUGAGUACUGUCCAUAUUUAAGAUUGUUUAUCUUAUCUGUAAAAUACCCAUCUCUUUCUGUUGCCCUGAAAUCUCUUCAAUUUUUGGAUCUCUGUGGAGAAAUAGUAAAGGUGAGAGCAAGCACAUUUUAUGUAAGCAGCAAUCCUUGAGGCAUCCCAGUCUGGUUUUACCAAUAAAUUUAGCCUUCCUUGCAGCUGAUGGAUGUAAUUCCCUUUCCACAUCCCUGAGACUGUGAUCCAGCUGUAUAAAGACUGGCUGGCAGGAGUGCUCCUUUGACACUUGUGUCAUAAUGAAGUGAUUCAAGGAGGUCAGGAACAGGUUUUCAGAGAGUAGAGAACCUACUCCUCAGAGGAAAUGGGUUGCAAGAGAUAGCAAGGGCUGGGUUUUCACUCAUUUGAUAAUGCCACUGUAGAACUAAGAAUGAACGUCACUCACAUUCAGUCAUUUGCAAAUAAUCACUCUAAGGUAAAUCAUGCAGUUACUUUUCCUUCAGGUGURGACAGCUUCCAGGUCCUGCUGGGUGGGGGAUUUCCUGUCUGCCUUUGGUUUGUACCUUUUCCAGGUCCUGUGCUUUGCCAGCUGGUUCAUGGCUCCAUUCACACCUGCUGCAUGCUGAACUCAUUUUGAGUUUUACAACUGGGGAAUGAGGCCUGACUUCUGCAACUGGCACAAUGCAUCCUGGCAGCUGAGUCUGGGCCUUCCUCUGCCUGCUGCGAGCCAGAACGUUUGCUCAGUGGUGUUGUGCCAAAAAUUACCUUGGSAGUAUAGAAAGGGAAACCGAAUAGAGAGAAAGGGAGGAGCAUGGAAGCUCGAGUGUGUGACAGGUAUUUGUAGAGAGGUUAAACGGCAUGUACCUGAGAAGGAAAUAUUUUGGCUUCCAAGCAUUUCCAAGCAACAAGGAGGAAGGAAUAACAGUCACAUUAUCUGCUGAAUCAGAACUCUGGUCUUCUGAUGAGGAGCUGGGAGCACCAUCAGGACUGUACAAACAGGAGUUGAUGAAAAUUUCUGCAUAGCCACCCCAUGGUAAAAGCUGCAUUUCAAGAGUAAGAGCAGAAAUGGGGGAGGGACUAUUUGUCAUUUGUUCUUUUCUGCUCUCCRUUGAGGUCAAAGCAGGAGAUGUCUGGAGCAAAGGGCAGAGUGACUUAAGUGUACGUGAAACUUUGCUGGGAAAUUGUCUCAUGUCCCAGAGUAUUGACAUCAGAGCACUUCACCCUGAGCACCRGGCCCAGCUCAGGCCCUCACACACUCUGUGCAGAGCAGGGGCACUCGACUUCAAGUGGCCAGCUCAGGCAUUGUAGGGAUGAUGCAAGCAGCCCCAGAGUGUACAAUCAGUGCUCAGCUUUGGGUAAAGGGCAUCUGACAUGGCUGCACUAAGGGCAGACACUGCUGUGGACUUGCAGAGCACACGAUAAAGCAGGGCAAGGGCUGCCUGUUUGCCUCAGUGGGAAGGGGAACCUCUGCUGGGUAAUGGCAGUGGUAAUGGGGUACUCUGAGGCUGCUCACAGUAAAAGCCUUGGGGCAGUCACCCAACAAGUGCCCCUGUCGUUCCCAGGGGAGCACAGAAUGUGUCAGGUAACAUCAGCUCCAGACAGCUGAUGACAAAGUGAGUGAGGUGUCCAAGAGAUUUAAAAAAAAAAACACCAGAGAAAGUUUGUUCUUAUCCGAGCGGAUUUCCUGGAGCGAUGAGAGGGCCUGGCACGUUUCCACUCUACCUUUGGCACAUGCCUGGGCAGGCUGACACAACCUCAUUCAUUUCUAGUGAGAAAGAAGCAGUUGCCCUUAAAAUWACUGUGUUAGAGCCUGCUCUGUCCCUGCCUUUGUGCACCCUCUGGGGUCACCCAGAGAGAAGGAACAAGAGAGAACCUCCAUGAAGAGCAUCUUGCUGCUGCCACCUUGCCAUGCCACMCCUGCUGUCUUUGCUUGCUGCCCUGGCCCAAAGUGUCUCCUAGCACAGGAGCAGGUCCAGUAAGUCAGGCCCUUGGYAGGCCCCCAUAUUCCUGUACUCAUUUGUGCCUGUGAAGGCCACACAAGCCCUUUGCCCUUCUGCUCAUCACCAGACAUCCUAACAAGUCCUCUUUGCUUAAGCACCUCAGAAAAUAUUUUUCUUUAAUUUUAAAUAAACUUAACUCCUGCAGCUGAGCCAGCUGCCUGAACUAUUUUAGGUCAAGAAUUACCAGAAUUAGCAGGAGAGUAAGUUAUAUUAUAGCUGCUUGCUGACAGCUCCGUUUAAAACCAAAAAGAGCCAUCUACUUAGCUUGGAAAGCAUUGCACUCGUGUAACCUCGCAUCUGCAGUGCUUGGAUUGCAGCCUGUACCUGCGGCUGGSUUUGGUCCAUCCGUGGGUAAACCRUGACAUCUGGUGGCCACAGUGGAACUCAACGAGCUCUAUGAUCUUUGGUAGCAAAACCUUCCCCCGGAUCACUGGGGCAGGCCCAGAGGGGCACAGAACCAUGUGUCGGAAAACUUUAUGAUCCAUAACUUCUGGCACCACAAGGCUGGAAUGCCAAAACUCCGGCUGUAGCCGAGCUUGGUCCAUCCGUGGGUAAACCAUGACAUCUGGUGGCCACAGUGGAGCUCAACGCGCUCUAGGACCUCUGGUAGCAAAACCUUCUCCCAGAUCACUGGGGCGGG